CUAGCGACAGGCUUAACACAUGCAAGUCGAGGGGCUGCACAGGUAGCAAUACCGGGUGGCGACCGGCGCACGGGUGAGUAACGCGUAUGCAACUUGCCUAUCAGAGGGGGAUAACCCGGCGAAAGUCGGACUAAUACCGCAUGAAGCAGGGAUCCCGCAUGGGAAUAUUUGCUAAAGAUUCAUCGCUGAUAGAUAGGCAUGCGUUCCAUUAGGCAGUUGGCGGGGUAACGGCCCACCAAACCGACGAUGGAUAGGGGUUCUGAGAGGAAGGUCCCCCACAUUGGUACUGAGACACGGACCAAACUCCUACGGGAGGCAGCAGUGAGGAAUAUUGGUCAAUGGCCGAGAGGCUGAACCAGCCAAGUCGCGUGAGGGAUGAAGGUUCUAUGGAUCGUAAACCUCUUUUAUAAGGGAAUAAAGUGCGGGACGUGUCCCGUUUUGUAUGUACCUUAUGAAUAAGGAUCGGCUAACUCCGUGCCAGCAGCCGCGGUAAUACGGAGGAUCCGAGCGUUAUCCGGAUUUAUUGGGUUUAAAGGGUGCGUAGGCGGCCUUUUAAGUCAGCGGUGAAAGUCUGUGGCUCAACCAUAGAAUUGCCGUUGAAACUGGGGGGCUUGAGUAUGUUUGAGGCAGGCGGAAUGCGUGGUGUAGCGGUGAAAUGCUUAGAUAUCACGCAGAACCCCGAUUGCGAAGGCAGCCUGCCAAGCCAUUACUGACGCUGAUGCACGAAAGCGUGGGGAUCAAACAGGAUUAGAUACCCUGGUAGUCCACGCAGUAAACGAUGAUCACUAGCUGUUUGCGAUACAUUGUAAGCGGCACAGCGAAAGCGUUAAGUGAUCCACCUGGGGAGUACGCCGGCAACGGUGAAACUCAAAGGAAUUGACGGGGGCCCGCACAAGCGGAGGAACAUGUGGUUUAAUUCGAUGAUACGCGAGGAACCUUACCCGGGUUUGAACGCAUUCGGACCGAGGUGGAAACACCUUUUCUAGCAAUAGCCGUUUGCGAGGUGCUGCAUGGUUGUCGUCAGCUCGUGCCGUGAGGUGUCGGCUUAAGUGCCAUAACGAGCGCAACCCUUGCCACUAGUUACUAACAGGUGAUGCUGAGGACUCUGGUGGGACUGCCAGCGUAAGCUGCGAGGAAGGCGGGGAUGACGUCAAAUCAGCACGGCCCUUACAUCCGGGGCGACACACGUGUUACAAUGGCGUGGACAAAGGGAGGCCACCUGGCGACAGGGAGCGAAUCCCCAAACCACGUCUCAGUUCGGAUCGGAGUCUGCAACCCGACUCCGUGAAGCUGGAUUCGCUAGUAAUCGCGCAUCAGCCAUGGCGCGGUGAAUACGUUCCCGGGCCUUGUACACACCGCCCGUCAAGCCAUGGGAGCCGGGGGUACCUGAAGUCCGUAACCGCGAGGAUCGGCCUAGGGUAAAACUGGUGACUGG
rnacentral:rRNA from 1 species